UACGGAGGGAGCUAGCGUUAUUCGGAAUUACUGGGCGUAAAGCGCACGUAGGCGGCUUUGUAAGUAAGAGGUGAAAGCCUGGUGCUCAACACCAGAACUGCCUUUUAGACUGCAUCGCUUGAAUCAUGGAGAGGUGAGUGGAAUUCCGAGUGUAGAGGUGAAAUUCGUAGAUAUUCGGAAGAACACCAGUGGCGAAGGCGGCUCACUGGACAUGUAUUGACGCUGAGGUGCGAAAGCGUGGGGAGCAAACAGGG
rnacentral:rRNA from 1 species